CCCACGCAACCUGCGCUGCGUCCACACUUCCUACGCAGAGCUCCCGCCCUCGCUUACCCCCGCCGCAGGCUCCUGCAACCACGACCCGGCCGUUGCACCCAGCGAUCUGCACCGCUGCCGCGAGGGCAGAUGUCCCCCCGCCGACGCCGCGAAUGCUCGGAAGACACCAGCUCCCGAACUGCCCAACCGGGCGCAGGUCACCUACGGAAAAGCCCAACCGAAGGCCGCGGACCGGCUGCCCUGGGCUUGGCAGACCUCGGCCGCUGCCGGCUGACGCCUGUGCUGGGACGGGUGCAGGGUACAGCUACACCCGGGAAGGGUCCCGCCUCGCCUUUUUGCCAUAUGCAAGUAACAGCUCACAGGACCAGCCCUGCCACGGACAGAACGAAGAAUUACCCUUGCGCUUCACCACCUGCCCGAAUCGUUCCCAGCGCGCUCGGGCGGCCUGCGAAGGGGAGACCACGGCUGCAUUCAGCCCAGCCUGCUGCAGCACAGAACGAAUAACCCAAACCAGACUUUCCCUAUUUGCUCAUACAAAAUAUAUCUAUGAACACAGGUUGGGGUUUUUUUGUUUUUGGUUUUUUUUUACUUAAAUUUAUCUGUAUAGUACUCAGAGAAGAAUUACACACAGAAUGAGAAUGCAUACGUAAUUUUGACACAGAAGUUUUAAACUCAUCCCAACUAGGAUACACAAAACAAAGCCGCAAGCCUCCUAGGUGCAGCCAUGCUGGAGAGCAAGACCGUACCAAGGGAUGUGGCGAGCAGUGCCGCUUUGUUAAGAUGGUUUUUACAGAAUUACGCAUUCAGCUUGUAAAGUGAGAUGCAGCUAGCUCACUGAAAGAUAAAAUAGCUUUGAAAACAAAACAAAACAAAAGGUAGAUCUGCACUGAGUAACCUUGGUGGGAAGAGGAAAUUUCUUUUGGAACGUCAGCCUUUUGGGAAAGCAGCUUACACGUUCCUCUGUUUGAAUGCUGCAGAUUAUUUCGUCCUUUUCAAGAUAAUCGCCACAAGGACUCCUUUUUGUUCUAUUUUUGAUGUGUUUAAUGAAAAGACCAGGAGCGCAGUAGUAAAGAAAUGUCUAGUAUUCAGACUUUUCACUAGUUAGUUUGGAGAGAUAGAAGUAGAUGGGGAUUUUAGGGAUAGCCACUAAAUCAAAUGUAUUAACUAGGAUUAUCUCAGAAAGUGAAAGGAACCAGGGUGAAAUAGGUCAUAAAAUUAUCCGAGAUGUCUGGGUUUUGUCUAGGAACUGCUAAACUGAACAGAAAAGACUUUUAUGAAGUCUAAGGAAGAAAAAGGUCUCCUUUACCAGUAUCAGAAACAAAAACAGUAGGAUAAAUGGGACAAAGCGACAGCAAACACUAAUGUGUUUUUGCCAUUAGUAUAUUAUUCAACUUCAGGCAAAGGACAGACAGACUGGCUAAGCAAUACAAAAACUGCGAUGGGCACAGUUUUGAAUGAUCAGGGUAAAAACUAAUAUGUUAAUCGAGAUCUCACAAUGAAGGUCUAACCAAGGACUUCUGAGUCAAUACUCAGAAACAGGCUAACUAUGUCCAGAUUGUAAUUCUAAUUAAACAAUCAUCACGUGAAAUAUUUAAAAGCUAAAUCAGCUCAUCUGUGUUUCUCAGUUCUAGUCACAUGAAUGCAUAUUGCAUUGCUGUCAGAGAGGCUGUUUCUCAAACUUGUGUGCCACGGGGAGAAGGAACCACCAGAGCUUGCCAUGUGCUGCCUUGCAGACCAUGCCCGUUUUAAGUCUGCUUUCAUAUUUUUCAGUAAGACAGCUGCAUCAUAAAUUUCAUUUUUAAAGGAAGGGACUACAGGUCUACAGUGCAUAAACUACUGCAGAUAAAUCUCUACCCACAAGUUACAAAAUGAAGACCAUCAGCUGUUACCUCUAGUAGAUCUGCUGCAUGCUAUAACAAGACUACGAAGUAGGAGCGCUGUUGAGAUGCAACAGGUUUUGUAAGACACCGUACUAAGAAGUGACAGUCACCACAGGCUCCUUUGCAGAGUAAAAUAGUCAGUCAGUAAAACUCAAAAGCACUCUAAGGAUGCUCUGCACCACUACUUCCAAUUUACACAUGUGAGAACUGAAGCAUGGAUAAGAUGGUCCAUAAAUCCAACUGCUGGCAUACAGUAUCUGCAACGAAUACAUUAAAAAGAAGAAAACAUUAUAAAUGACUGUGAGAAGAGACACAAAGCAACAGGCACCAGAUUGUUCAAACUGAUUUAUGCCUCGUCUCUCCUAUUAUUUUGACUUUUGGCUCCUGACAAUUUCUGUUGGUUGUUCAAGUGAGCUACCUACCGGUGCUAAAAAAAAAAAGCACCAAGGAUGAAGAUGGCUGUGGAGGGCAUUGCUCGUUCCUUACAAAUUUACUGUAAACUUACUGCAGCGACAGCCUUCUCCGUCACAGCCCCACGGACGUUCACCGUAGCUCAAGGUGCCUCUGCGCGGCGGCUGCUUCCUCACCCGCAAGCCGACGUCCAGCCACGCGCUGGAAGCUGCCGGACCUGCGUGACGUCCUUACCCUCCCCGCCGGCAGCUUCUGCUUCUCAGCCCGAGUUUCACAACUCGCCUGACUUCCCGCCCGCGGGAGGGUGGCCGUGAGCGGGGAUGCCCGGGGGACCGGCAGCCCCUCGGGGUCCCAGCCCGGGCGUCACCCGUGCGAGGCCGUGGGCGCCCACCUGGGCUGAAGCCCGCUGCUGCCGCGUGUCCCGGGUGGGGACCGUCACCACGCGCGUGGGUGCUGCCUGGCCGCCAGCGCGCCUGCUGGGUCCCCUGGCUGGGCACCGCGCUCCUUGAGCCCCUGCUCCGAGCCCCGGGGCUGCAGCGGGGCCCUUGCAGGGGGCAUCUGCGGGAAACAGCCGAAGGCCAGACCUGGGUGUUGACAGACACCCGUGGAUCAAGAUCGCCUUGCUUCCUGCAGCUGGGUUUGCAAAACAUCCGACACGUCACCGACUCUCAUGGAACACGCGCAGCAGCAGAAUUCGAAGAAAUGAAAAACGGAGACAGACAGCGAAGUCUCCGCAUGUAGGAGUCACCAACCAGACCUAGGACAAAACGUGUAGAAAUGGAAGAAAAAACACCCUGAACCUUUUCAGGCUCUAGAUCCCCGUCGCUGUUUGCUUCAGUCCCCAAACUGCAGCGUGUCACGACGCAGCUCUCGCCCUCACGUGCACACUGCGAGUGGACAUGCGUUAAACCCCUUGAGGCGCACAGAAAGAGCGGUAACAGAAAAGCCAACAGCAAGCUUGUAAAGUAAUCACCUCUCUCUUUUCCACAAGUUCCAUUUGCUACUUGAAAAAAACAUAAAACCAUAGUUACCAAAUAGGAACGCGGCGACUAGAACAAACAUCAUUACUGUAAUGGCUCAUGCCAUAGAAAGCAGCAAUUUCCUGACGACAGGCCAACUGACCAGGGCCGCUUCCACGUUCAUGCUCAGUCGCGUGGCACAUCUGAUGAAGCACUACCAAUACUAAAUUCAGUGGGGCAGACUUUUUUCCUGGUAGCAUUUUUAUAACUACAUCAUUUAUUACAAUAAAGUUAUAUAAAGUAAACCCAUGAAAUUCAAUAUUUUUUCCCCUAUGGAUAAAAGUUAUUUUUACUUAUGACAAAAUAUGUUAACACUGAUAGCAGCUUGGUGCUAUAUGAAGUACAGAAACUUACCAUAAGCUACCAUUUCAUAUGAUUUUUUUUUUAUAUUCUCUUCCUGCAAUUUAACUGCAUAGCAACAAAAAAAGAGCUUAACAUCUGCUGGUCUAGUCCUAUUGAAGUUAGAGCAGUUGCAAUCCUUCAGAAUUUUAACUAAACUGGAUUAAUAACCUAUUUUCUAGUUAGCAAGUGUCUGUUCUUUAAAAUUUCAUGUGUCAUUGAUAUGAUCACUACACAUACUAGAGAAGUAAUAGCAUCACUAUUAUAAGAAACAUUUUAAAUAAUUUAUGGGAGUUUUAUUAGCCAACGUUAGGUGCUCAGAUGCAUAGGCACCAGCUUCUGUAACUCAGCACCUUUUCUAUGACAGAUACCUGUUGAUAAAAGGAACCUCACUGACGUUAAUGGAAUGGCUGGCAACUUUUACUGAUGGCAAAAUCAGGCCCUUUUUUCGUAAUUUUGUGACAGCCUUAAAGAGAGUGAGACCUGUCUGAAGAACGGGCACUCACGUCUCGGACUGCUGUGGCUUCGGGUUUAUUCCUUGGAGACUCUCAGGCUCCCACCACAGGCCGGAAAACAUCGGGUGAGCGUCAGGUAGGACGAGCUGCACCUCCAAAGCAAGCCUUUCCCUACGGGCUAUCUCUGAAAGUGGAGAGAGAUUUUCUAAUGUAAUUAAAAAUAGCGUGUGGCUAAGAUUAAUACAAACCUCAUUAGACAGAUCCUUCCACAUUGGCAGCGCGGAUGCUUGCAGGGAAGCUGCCUGCUCUAACCUGCUCUUCCGCACGCGCAGCCGCCGGCUGCCUUUGAGCUGUGCGGUGCUACGUGACCCGAAGGCUGCCCAAGCCG